CCUUGACAUAUUUCAAUUUUUUUUUUUUGUUACAAUUUCUUCAACAUAAUACUAGUGUACAUGCUAUACACUCUACUUAUUGUGAUAUAAGAGACUAUUUAUAACUAAAACUGAUUUCCUUGGAAUAAUUUAAUUCAUUUUUUUUAAAACAAAAUACUAUAUACUAUAUCUAUACGUGCUAUUCUUUUUUUUUUUUUUUAGAAUUGUUUUCCCUCCUUGCAGCAACAAAUAAGGAGCAUACCUUUAAAAAAAAACAAUACCAUUUGUUUUCCCUCUCUUUAACUUCAUUCUCUCCCGUCAAAAAAAAAACUUCAUUCUCGCUGCCUCUCUCUCUCUAUCUUGUUUUUGCCAAAUUCUAGGGUUUUGCUGAGCUUCCAAGAUUCUCUCAUGGCAUCAAAGCGUAUCCUCAAGGAACUAAAGGAUCUCAUAAAGAUCCUCCGACUUCAUGCAGUGCUGUGCUGGAGCAUCUGUUGGCUAAUUGAAUUAGGAACACAUUUUUGAGGCAAUGUAUUUGAUUUCAUAUUGCUUCACAAGUAACUAUAUUCAAGCAGCGUGCUAGUAGAUUGGCAUCCCUCAAUGCAAAGCUGAUUGGUAGAGUUGGUGACUUCUGCUAUGUCCAAGAAGGGCUUCAGCUUGGGUAGCUUUUUGGCAAUAGAUUCACAAUAACUCUUAGGGUCUAUGACCAGCCCUGAUGGGUUAUAUCUAUGGGAAGUUGUGUAAAUGGAGGUGGAUAUCUGUCCCUGGCUGCCCACCAACAGUUGAGGCUUGUUUAUGGACUUCUGCAGCUACAGAUAGAAGAAAAUUAACAAGCGCAAGGAUUUACUUCACUUGUGGACCAAGUGAGCACAUUCUGCUUAUAUUCCUUUAACAUGGCUACAUUUUGGCAAGAUACUAAUCAGUGUAGUAUAUGCCGGCUUGUUAUGGCCAAGGGUCAUUCAUGAUAUCUGAAGAAAGCCCCUUGAAAUUACUCUAAACUGUGAUGCCCAGUUGCCGUUUUUUAUUGUAUCUAAUGAGAGGUUUAUAUGUUCUUUUAGUUUUCUUAGUUCCAGAUUUCUAAAAACAAAUUGAAACUCUAUAUGUUAUUUUUCUUUCUGGCUAAAGUGAAGCUAUCCUUUGGUUUUGUGUUUGGGUUAAGGAUGAAGAGAACCUUUCAUAAAAAUUCAGUCUUCUAAUAAGAUUCUGAAACUUUGUAUGUUCA